GGGGUCGAUUUGGUUUUGACAGCAAGACUUAUCGAGGAGUAAGCACGUCGAGCGUUGGAAUAUUGCUCGUAAAUCUCAUGUUUCAUCCUUUUUAAACGGCGAUAAUAACUACGCCUUAGCUGCGUAAUCUGAAUCACAGUAGGAUACGCUUAAUCCCGACGAGGUCGGGAGCUAAGAUGUCUCUGGAAAGCCUUGAUUUAUGGCGUUCCAUCAAGAGGCACCGGUAAAGUAAAUCUAGAUAGAGUAGUGUCUCGAUGCUCUAUUGAAAUUUGAGAGACUAGGUGUAAAGUAGGUAGUUUCUUGCCGGCUUUGCAUUGAAAUUAAAGCAGAAACUAAGCGUGUAGAAGGCUGUUUGGUAUCUUGUUUGGACGGGAGUUCGAGUCUCCCCGACUCCACAU
rnacentral:tmRNA from 1 species